rnacentral:rRNA from 1 species
GAUGAACGCUGGCGGCGUGCCUAAUACAUGCAAGUCGAGCGAACGGACGAGAAGCUUGCUUCUCUGAUGUUAGCGGCGGACGGGUGAGUAACAUGUGGAUAACCUACCUAUAAGACUGGGAUAACUUCGUGAAACCGGAGCUAAUACCGGAUAAUAUUUUGAACCGCAUGGUUCAAAAGUGAAAGACGGUUUUGCUGUCACUUAUAGAUGGAUCCGCGCUGCAUUAGCUAGUUGGUAAGGUAACGGCUUACCAAGGCAACGAUGCAUAGCCGACCUGAGAGGGUGAUCGGCCACACUGGAACUGAGACACGGUCCAGACUCCUACGGGAGGCAGCAGUAGGGAAUCUUCCGCAAUGGGCGAAAGCCUGACGGAGCAACGCCGCGUGAGUGAUGAAGGUCUUCGGAUCGUAAAACUCUGUUAUUAGGGAAGAACAUAUGUGUAAGUAACUGUGCACAUAUUGACGGUACCUAAUCAGAAAGCCACGGCUAACUACGUG